CUCAGCUUUGUUUAGUGUUUAGAGGAAAAGGAGACGGGCGGCGAGCGGGCCUUGGAGGGGCAGCGGCGGCGGCGGCGGCGAGCGGGCUCUGGAGGGGCAGCAGCGGCUAGAGGGCCUCGGUGGCGUGGAGGCGAGCAGCGCGGCGAGCAUAGGAGGAGGAGGCGGAGGAGCGGCCUCUGUUGUACAGCUGCGAACGGCGCCGCUCCCGGCUGUUGAAGAUGAUGGGCGGGCUUACCUCGGGCUUCUUCCCACCCGACUUGUUCAAGGUGCCGGUUGUACGGGAGUCCCUCGCCCGCUCCUUCGACCUAGUCCCGUAGGACUAAUAUUCUAAGCUCUACGGAAAGUUACAGACCACACCACCUACGUCGAGGUACUAUCCCUUCCCUCAUUCCAAAUUACGACUUUUCUUUGUUCAACCUUUAAUAAUGAGAUGGUUCUAUACCUCGAAGUCAUACUUUAGUGGUACAACGGUCGUACUCUAUCAGUAUGUAUGCCUGGGCUUCUUAUGACUCAUACAAUAUUAGUCACCCCGAGUCGCCUUCUGACUUCUAAAACUACAACUUCUACGUCUCUGCGAGGACGAGGGACGCCUACUUCUUUCUCUGUUCGAACGCCUAGGGUACAUAUUCGAACUUGUGGUCCCUCUCCUAUAAGCCUUCUUCUUUCUUCUCCUCGGACAAAAUCAAGCCGAAGUUGCGGAGAGACUAUCGGCAGUAAGACUACUAAUAAGGGACUUGUCUUGGGAGGCGAUGGCGGAAUCCUCGGUUUUCUUCUCUCAACGACUUCUCUUCUUUAGUCGCUCCUCCUACCCCGAGCCUCAUGCGGAAGACGGUGGGAGGCGUCUCCUACGACGGCGACGUCGAGCACACUCCAAGCGGAGCUUAAAGCUCUUCUUGUCCUUCCUGUUCUCUCGUCGCUAGUUCCGGCGGAGGUAGAAGGGCCUCGGUAGUCCGAGUCGAAGCUUUCUGUUCGAUCUGGAACGCGACUUCUCCGCCUUAUAUUUUCGAUCACGUCGCAGCCGCGACUACCGCCCGUCCCGUUUCGGCAGCAGCACCAGCGCCGUCUCGUGGCCAAGACCUUCACGUUCCUGACGACACGGCUAUAACCGUUCCGCGUUCAUCUCGGUGUGGGGCUCAACACGAACGCGUUGGUUCGUUCUUAAAACACUAGAACAGGCCAGACAACGAGUCAUGCGGGGUACAUAUGCACAUAGAACACAUCAUGGAAGUAACUAGAUCGUCACAUGACAUUGGAACCACAAUACAGGACGACAGCACCGACCCCGACACUCGGACACUGUAUAGUACUCUUUGACUAAACGGAACAUUGACUACUAAGACCUGAUUGACUAAACGCAAAAAAGAGUAAAAAAAUCAGUGAAAAG
rnacentral:rRNA from 1 species